CAGGCAUGCAUUUUUAUGUAGUGUGGUUUUUGAAUGCAGUGGUGUGGUUAUAUAUAAUGGUGGGGUUUGUAUGUAGUGUGUCGUUGAAAUGCAGGGAUGUAUUUGUGUGUAGUGUUAGCGAGAUUCUGAAAUGCAUGCACGUAAACACAUACACACACGUAUAUACAUACUGACACACAUGCAGAUACAUAGACACACAGUGACACAAAGACACACGUGCAGACACAGUGGCGACUCUAGGAACAAUAUUGGGGGCACUACAAAACUGGGGGAGGGGUCACUAAAACCUUUCACUGGGGAAUUGGGCAAUGUGUGGCCAUUGGCUGCCUGAUGCAAUGCACGUUGGCAUCAGUCACCAAAUUUGCAUAUAAUUCACAUUAGCCAUCCAGAUUUCUUGUUGUGGGCUGGCUGACACCUCUCAACUUCGAUCUUUGUUUAUCAGAUAACUCCCCUAUUUGCUAUCCUUAUGUGGGAUUGCC